ACCUGGGAACUGCAUUGGAUACUGUCAGACUCGAGUGUGGGAGAGGGUAGUGGAAUUUCCGGUGUAGCAGUGAAAUGCGUAGAGAUCGGAAGGAACACCAGUGGCGAAGGCGGCUACCUGGACCAACACUGACGCUGAGGUACGAAAGCGUGGGGAUCAAACAGGAUUAGAUACCCUGGUAGUCCACGCUGUAAACGAUGUCAACUAGCCGUUGGGAGCAAUUAGGUUCUCAGUGGCGCAGCUAACGCGUUAAGUUGACCGCCUGGGGAGUACGGCCGCAAGGUUAAAACUCAAAUGAAUUGACGGGGGCCCGCACAAGCGGUGGAGCAUGUGGUUUAAUUCGAUGCAACGCGAAGAACCUUACCUGGCCUUGACAUGUCGCGAAUCCUGCAGAGAUGCGGGAGUGCCUUCGGGAGCGCGAACACAGGUGCUG
rnacentral:rRNA from 1 species